GAAAUUCUUGCUUAAACAAAAUGAAGUAUACUAGUGUUUGUUGUUCAGCGGUUGGUUGAGUGUACAUUUUCACAAUCUUACAAUGCUGAGAUUGCAACCAUUCCCCGCCUCUCUUGACUGGAGGCCAUGACUCUUUGCAUAUUAACAAUCAUGAAAAGGCAGCACAGUGGUUAGCAUUUGCCUCACAGCAAGAAGGCUUCAAAUCCAGCAUCUGCUCAUUAGCGUGUGUAGACAUCACGACUGUUGCUGAUCUACGUUUCUACACAAGCGCCAGGUUUGCUGUAAUCACGCUGACUGAGGGCCUGAGACAGGAGCUGCGUGCAGAAAACACCCAUACCCCAGUCACAGUGAGGCUUUAAAAGACACUGUAACCAGCUGGAAGAGUUCCUUUAACAGUUUGAGAUUCUAGACAUUCUGGUUGAAGCCAUAUAGCAGAUGUCAUUGAGUGUGUUCCCCUGGCAACUCCAGUACUACUGUGGUGCUCAUAUUUUCAAAAUGUUCUGAGGAUGUCACCAUCACUACGUUUAUCAGUCUUCAGAUUUAAUCUGGUCAGAAAACAACUUUUCAUGAUUUCUGUACUGAAAGGUUUCAUGAAUGCAUGAAAUAAUUCAGGGGAAAUAUACUGUACUUCAGUGUUCUUAGGGAAAAGUGUAUUGUGGAAAAUAUUCAACCCAAGUAUAAAAGUGUCGGAAAUAUACAUUUGAGCAUUAGAACCCUUGGGGGUUCUUUAGGGCAGAGGUUCCCAAAGUGUGGGGCCCGCCCCCUAGGGGGGGCGC